rnacentral:rRNA from 1 species
UGCGUAGGCGGGCUUGUGCGUCAGAGGUUAAAUCCCACAGCUCAACUGUGGAACUGCCUUUGAUACGGCAAGUCUUGAGUGUGAGAGAGGAUGGUAGAAUUCCUGGUGUAGCGGUGAAAUGCGUAGAUAUCAGGAGGAAUACCAGUGGCGAAGGCGGCCAUCUGGCUCACUACUGACGCUGAGGCACGAAAGCGUGGGGAGCGAACAGGAUUAGAUACCCUGGUAGUCC